GACGAACGCUGGCGGCGUGCUUAACACAUGCAAGUCGUACGGUAAGGCCCUUUCGGGGGUACACGAGUGGCGCACGGGUGCGUAACACGUGAGUAACCUGCCCACAACUUUUGGAUAACGCUAGGAAACUGGUGCUAAUACUGGAUAUGUGCUCCUGCUGCAUGGUGGGGGUUGGAAAGCUCCGGCGGUUGUGGUUGGACUCGCGGCCUAUCAGCUUGUUGGUGGGGUAGUGGCCUACCAAGGCGGCGACGGGUAGCCGGCCUGAGAGGGUGACCGGACACAUUGGGACUGAGAUACGGCCCAGACUCCGACGGGAGGCAGCAGUGGAGAAUAUUGCAAAAUGGGCGCAAGCCUGAUGCAGCAACGCCGAGUGCGGGAGGACGGCCUUCAGGUGGUAAACCGCUUUCAGCAGGGACGAAGAAUUUUGUGACGGUACCUGCAGAAGAAGCACCGGCUAACUACGUG
rnacentral:rRNA from 1 species